GACAGAGGGUGCAAGCGUUAAUCGGAAUUAUUGGGCGUAAAGAGCUCGUAGGCGGUUUGUCGCGUCUGCCGUGAAAGUCCGGGGCUCAACUCCGGAUCUGCGGUGGGUACGGGCAGACUAGAGUGAUGUAGGGGAGACUGGAAUUCCAGGUGUAGCGGUGAAAUGCGUAGAUAUCUGGAGGAACACCGGUGGCGAAGGCGGCAUCCUGGACCGGCAUUGACGCUGAGGCGCGAAAGCCAGGGGAGCAAACGGG
rnacentral:rRNA from 1 species